AGUACAAGAUUUCUGAAGGGAAUCUGGCAAUGUGUAUCAAGAAACAACAACAAAAAAUUAUACCCUUUGAACCAUCCAGAAUUGGCUAGUUGGAUGAAGCAUGCCUGAGCUGAGGCUUGAAUGCUUUUGAAAAUCAGCAAACACAACUACAGUCUCCAUGAUGUAAACCAAUCUGCUGGACUACUUCCAAUUUCAGCUCCGACACAUGAAGAGCUUGGAAGUCAUCAUUCCCAUCCUUCACAAAAAGUAAAAACCAAACAAACUGAAAAUUUGUGACUUUUCUUGGGUCCCUCAGAGAAUAAAGGUUUCAGGCAAACUGCCAGCUUGACAUCUGGAGAGAGAGGAAAAUCCAAAGAGACAUAGCCAAGAUCUGUUUACCUGAACCUGAUGACAACAGAAUGAUCAACUAGUAGAAAAACUUAAAUAAUAAUUUUGAUGACUUGCUGGAGGCAGAGUGUGAAUUUGCCUGAGAGUGAGAGACCUGGUAUUUGGUGAUUACAGCAUACAGUUUCUCUUCCAAAGAUGUUUUUGCAAACAGCAGCUAGUGUUUAUGAAGUCAUCCCGGAUUUGACAGGAUACUGUCAAGUAUUCAGCGCCUUCCACCCUCCCUCGUUCUCUCUUCAACUCAGCACCACUCCCUCCACCUCCACCUCCUCCGGACCACUACAUUUGAUGCUUCCAUUGCUUCAAGAACAGAGUCAGAGAAAAAAGACUUCAAAUGUUUGGCUUUUAAGGUGCAUUCCUGGUAUAAAUCAGAGAGAUUUUGGAGAAUACAUAUUGUAUCAGCAUUUGUUA
ensembl:lncRNA novel transcript